GUCACACUCAUGAAUGUCAUCAGAGAUUACCGUUGUUAUGAUAGUUAUUGAUUACUUAAGCUUGCAGUCCAUGAGAUCAAGUCUCAGCCGGGUGAAAGCACUGAGACAGCAUAAUAAACGGGUGUUUAUAAACGCAGCAACUGUGGUCAAGAAGGAAGGUUAUUGUCCGGUCACGCUCUACAGGAAAGACGCGACUAAACUUGUCCUUUGUAUCAAGUUCCGGCUCAGUGGCCAACCUCAAGGGUGGCUCAAGUAACUUCGCUACAGAAACCGGUGACAAGAUCGGUAGGAUGUUACUCUGGAAACAGCUUAUUCCAAAGAUUGUCAUGGGAACCCGACAAAGAACGUUUCUGCUGUUUGUGGGAGUUGUCGUGAUAACACUUGCAUACAGUUUGUGGCCGCACAGUGUAUUGAAUGAAGUAACAAGCCUCCACGCUUCAGGAUCCAUGUCACGUAUAUCGUUGGUUGGUGUAAACAGGACGUAUCAGCUUAACGAAACGGUCAAGGUGAACAUUGUUCUAUUCGAUCACUGGAAGAGACCAAAAACAUGUGGUGGUGAUAUGUUGGUCGUGUGGAUGAAAGAUCCG